UUUGUUCUUCUUCUGUUGAGUUUAUUGGUGGCUUGCAAAUGACACGGUGUAUUACUGCCACCAACUGUUUGGGUGUAGAGCAUUAAUGGAGUCUGGCAUCCUCUCCGGGUCACUGUACAUAGAAACCUUUU